AAUAUUCAACUCUACAACCAGCUCAGAAUAGUUAGAAAUAUUCAUGCGACUCUCUGUUUUUCUUAGUUCCACACGUUCCACACAUUUCAUAUGUUAGUAUUAUUCGGGCUAUACUCGGAUUUACCGCUUAUACGCGCACACGUAGAGUUAG